CAAUAUCUUCGGGGUUAGGUGAAAGUCCUGACCGGCGGUGACAGCCCGCGAGUCCCGGAACUUCGGGACAGAAUCGGUGGAAUUCCGGUGCCGACGGUAACAGUCCGGAGGGGAGAAGAUAUUA
rnacentral:ncRNA from 1 species